CCUACGGGUGGCAGCAGUGGGGAAUAUUGGACAAUGGGCGAAAGCCUGAUCCAGCCAUGCCGCGUGUGUGAAGAAGGCCUUCGGGUUGUAAAGCACUUUCAGUGGGGAAGAAAGCCUUGGGGCUAAUACCCUCGAGGAAGGACAUCACCCACAGAAGAAGCACCGGCUAACUCCGUGCCAGCAGCCGCGGUAAUACGGAGGGUGCGAGCGUUAAUCGGAAUUACUGGGCGUAAAGCGCGCGUCGGCGGUCUGAUAAGCCGGUUGUGAAAGCCCCGGGCUCAACCUGGGAACGGCAUCCGGAACUGUCAGGCUAGAGUGCAGGAGAGGAAGGUAGAAUUCCCGGUGUAGCGGUGAAAUGCGUAGAGAUCGGGAGGAAUACCAGUGGCGAAGGCGGCCUUCUGGACUGACACUGACGCUGAGGUGCGAAAGCGUGGGUAGCAAACAGGAUUAGAUACCCCAGUAGUC
rnacentral:rRNA from 1 species